rnacentral:rRNA from 1 species
UACGUAGGUGGCAAGCGUUGUCCGGAAUUAUUGGGCGUAAAGCGCGCGCAGGCGGUCCUUUAAGUCUGAUGUGAAAGCCCACGGCUCAACCGUGGAGGGUCAUUGGAAACUGGGGGACUUGAGUGCAGAAGAGGAAAGCGGAAUUCCACGUGUAGCGGUGAAAUGCGUAGAGAUGUGGAGGAACACCAGUGGCGAAGGCGCUUCACUGGUCCGUGA